rnacentral:rRNA from 1 species
GAUGAACGCUAGCGGCAGGCCUAAUACAUGCAAGUCGAACGGGAUUAAGAGGCUUGCUUCUUAUGAGAGUGGCGCACGGGCGCGUAACACGUAUGCAACCUACCUUUAACUGGGGGAUAGCCUUCCGAAAGGGAGAUUAAUACCGCAUAACAUAAUUGAACGGCAUCGUUUGACUAUCAAACUUCCAAGGGUUAAAGAUGGGCAUGCGUCCGAUUAGUUAGUUGGUGAGGUAACGGCUCACCAAGGCAUCGAUCGGUAGGGGAUCUGAGAGGAUGACCCCCCACACUGGUACUGAGACACGGACCAGACUCCUACGGGAGGCAGCAGUAAGGAAUAUUGGUCAAUGGACGCAAGUCUGAACCAGCCAUGCCGCGUGCAGGAAGACGGUCCUCUGGAUUGUAAACUGCUUUUGUUAGGGAAGAAACCCUCUGAUGCGUCAGAGGCUGACGGUACCUAAAGAAUAAGGAUCGGCUAACUCCGUGCCAGCCGCCGCGGUAAGAC